rnacentral:tRNA from 1 species
GCCCGGGUGGUGGAACUGGUAGACACGCAGGACUUAAAAUCCUGUGGCCAGUAAUGGUCGUGCCGGUUCGAUUCCGGCUCCGGGCA